CAGUAGCCGCGGUAAUACGAAGGGUGCAAGCGUUAAUCGGAAUUACUGGGCGUAAAGCGUGCGUAGGCGGUGAGUUAAGUCUGCUGUGAAAUCCCCGGGCUCAACCUGGGAAUGGCAGUGGAUACUGGCUCGCUAGAGUGUGUCAGAGGAUGGUGGAAUUCCCGGUGUAGCGGUGAAAUGCGUAGAGAUCGGGAGGAACAUCAGUGGCGAAGGCGGCCAUCUGGGACAACACUGACGCUGAGGCACGAAAGCGUGGGGAGCAAACAGGAUUAGAUGACCCCCGUAGUCCCUGUCUCUUAUA
rnacentral:rRNA from 1 species